rnacentral:rRNA from 1 species
AUUGAACGCUAGCGGGAUGCCUUACACAUGCAAGUCGAACGAGUGGCGAACGGGUGAGUAAUGUAUCGGAACGUGCCCAGUAGCGGGGGAUAACUACGCGAAACGUAGCUAAUACCGCAUACUAUUGGAGCGGCCGAUAUCGGAUUAGCUAGUUGGUGGGGUAACGGCUCACCAAGGCGACGAUCCGUAGCUGGUUUGAGAGGACGACCAGCCACACUGGGACUGAGACACGGCCCAGACUCCUACGGGAGGCAGCAGUGGGGAAUUUUGGACAAUGGGGGAAACCCUGAUCCAGCCAUCCCGCGUGUGCGAUGAAGGCCUUCGGGUUGUAAAGCACUUUUGGCAGGAAAGCGGUACCUGCAGAAUAAGCACCGGCUAACUACGUGCCAGCAGCCGCGGUAAUACGUAGGGUGCAAGCGUUAAUCGGAAUUACUGGGCGUAAAGCGUGCGCAGGCGGUUCGGAAAGAAAGAUGUGAAAUCCCAGAGCUUAACUUUGAACUGCAUUUUUAACUACCGGGCUAGAGUGUGUCAGAGGGAGGUGGAAUUCCGCGUGUAGCAGUGAAAUGCGUAGAUAUGCGGAGG